ACAAUUCAGGUUCGUACGAAGUUCGUUCUGAAAUGGAGUGGUUUGUGUUUCGCAUAGUUUUAGACCUUGGAUUUCACUCAACACCUACCUAAUGACUCCUCCCACCAUAUUAUGCUGUUCCCCAAGUUUUGGACUCAAUCCAAUAUCGAUGGGUCUAUGAAAUUGGACAAUUCAGGUUCGUACGAAGUUCUUUCUGAAUUGGAGUGGUUGGUGUGUUGCAUACUUUUAGAAACUCGAUUUCACUCAAAACCCUCCAAAUGACUCCUCCCACCAUAUUAUGAUCUUUUCCAAGUUUUGGACUCAAUCCGAUAUCGAUUGGUCCACGAAAUUUGAGAAUUCAGUUUCA
rnacentral:lncRNA from 1 species